CAAGGUGCUAGCAUGUAUUCUUUCCCUUUUACAAGUUCGCCAUCUGCGGAGUUGUUGCCUUGAAUCAGAGGUGCUGCGUGUUUCUCAAGUGACGUGCUUCAGGGAAUUUUGUCAGCUUUCAGCUUCUGUCUGUUCACAAUGGCGUCACAGAGCCCCAAGUACCUAAUGUUGUACUCUACAACAGACGGGCAUACUAAAACGAUUGUGGAUACAAUAGCAACGCUACUCACCGACGAGACAAAGGCGCGGUGCGAUGUUGUCGACAUCAAGGACGGUAACAGUUACGUGCUGGCAGACUACGAAAAGGUUCUCCUCGGUGGGUCCAUUCGCUACGGGCAUUUUAGCGCUGCCUUUAUCAAGUAUGUCAAGCAGCACCAUAGUGAGCUUAACGCUAUGCCGUCGGCUUUCGUCAGCGUCAAUCUCACAGCACGCAAGUCAGACAAGAACACCGCUACGACUAACGUUUACACACGCAAGUUUCUCAAUCAGUCAUCAUGGUCUCCGCAACUUGUCGGUGUCUUUGCAGGCGCGUUGCGGUAUCCUCGCUACAACUUUUUUGAUCGGGUCCUGAUUCAAUUCAUUAUGAUGGUCACAGGUGGGGAAACGGAUUCGACGAAAGAAAUUGUGUACACUGAUUGGGGUGCUGUUCGAGUGUUUGCGUCUGACUUCGCAGCUUUACCUUUGGCAGUACCACCGCGGCCGAAGGCGAAUGCAGCAGAGAAGCCUGAUGGCAUUCUCAGAAGUGGCAACGGUGCGCGCUGUUUGCUCGCGAUAGUCGGCAUGUCAGCGGCUGUCGUUGUCGGAAUCCGUAUAAUCGUUGCAAAACGCGGAUAGAGCGUGCUCAUUAAUGCGCUUUCGGUUCUGUUCUCGCGAAGGGAGACUUCUGGAUGUGGCUUCAGUUUCCGGUGCCUAUUCUCUGUGAAAGCCAGGCGGCGGUUCUAUCCCUAGCAAUGCGAAUCUUCUUCUGGUGGUGUCAGAGCCACGCACUUACGACGUGGGGAAGGUGAGAGCGAUGUAGCGCUAUGGAUGUCGGCGUUCAGGUCGUGCAUAGCGUAGUAUCGGAGCGGCCUGUGGAACUGAACGGGUUUGUGUCAUCCAGGUGAUGGACGACGGGCGAAUGCAAGCCGAACCUAUUCCCCCCGGCCGCCACACUGCCCACUGCUGUAAGAAUCCUUAGCCGCCCUGAUAGGGAUGCGCCAAGUGGGGACCUGCGAGGCAGGUGGUGGGUAGAGGUUGAGGAAGAGGCCUUGUUGAGAUGACUGAGUUGGUGCACUGUUGUAGUGCGUGUGUACGGCUGCUUUGCAGCAGCCGAUGGGGCGUGCUACAGGCCGGGUGGGGUGGUGUUUACCUCAUCUUGUACGGCAUAUUGAAGAUGCUGAAACAAGAGCGACGAAAACCCUCUUCGCUUGUGUUCGAAAUGGAAAGGCGCAUCCGAAAGUUCUCGUAAGGAUAAAAUGUUAUGCGGGCGUCAACUCCUCAUGGAGAAAAC
rnacentral:misc_RNA from 1 species